CAAAAGCGUAUAUUAAAGUUGUUGCAGUUAAAAAGCUCGUAGUUGAACCUUGGGCUUGGCUGGCCGGUCCAUCUUUUUUGAUGCGUACUGGACCCAGCCGAGCCUUUCCUUCUGGCUAGCCUUUUGGCGAACCAGGACUCUUACUUUGAAAAAAUUAGAGUGUUCAAAGCAGGCCUUUGCUCGAAUAUAUUAGCAUGGAAUAAUAGAAUAGGACGUUAUGGUUCUAUUUUGUUGGUUUCUAGGACCAUCGUAAUGAUUAAUAGGGACGGUCGGGGGUAUCAGUAUUCAGUUGUCAGAGGUGAAAUUCUUGGAUUUACUGAAGACUAACUACUGCGAAAGCAUUUACCAAGGACGUUUUCAUUAA
rnacentral:rRNA from 1 species